ACGGGGGUAGCUCAGCUGGCAGAGCAUCUGGCAAACAUCCAGAAGGUCGAGGGUUCGAACCCCUCUCCCCGCA
rnacentral:tRNA from 1 species